rnacentral:rRNA from 1 species
AGGACGAACGCUGGCGGCGUGCUUAACACAUGCAAGUCGAGCGAGGCCCUUCCUUCGGGAAGGAGCCCUAGCGGCGAACGGGUGAGUAACACGUGGGCAACCUGCCCCUAGCACUGGGAUAACUCCGGGAAACCGGGGCUAAUACCGGAUAUGACCUUUGAGGGCAUCCUCUUUGGUGUAAAGGAUUCUGGCUAGGGAUGGGCCCGCGGCCUAUCAGCUUGUUGGUGGGGUAAAAGGCCUACCAAGGCGACGACGGGUAGCCGGCCUGAGAGGGCGACCGGCCACACUGGGACUGAGACACGGCCCAGACUCCUACGGGAGGCAGCAGUGGGAAUAUUGCACAAUGGGCGAAAAGCCUGAUGCAGCGACGCCGCGUGAGGGAUGACUGCCUUCGGGUUGUAAACCUCUUUCAGCAGGGACGAAGCGAAAGUGACGGUACCUGCAGAAGAAGCACCGGCCAACUACGUGCCAGCAAGCCGAC